rnacentral:rRNA from 1 species
AGCAGUAGGGAAUCUUCCACAAUGGACGCAAGUCUGAUGGAGCAACGCCGCGUGAGUGAAGAAGGUCUUCGGAUCGUAAAACUCUGUUGUUAGAGAAGAACACGAGUGAGAGUAACUGUUCAUUCGAUGACGGUAUCUAACCAGCAAGUCACGGCUAACUACGUGCCAGCAGCCGCGGUAAUACGUAGGUGGCAAGCGUUGUCCGGAUUUAUUGGGCGUAAAGGGAACGCAGGCGGUCUUUUAAGUCUGAUGUGAAAGCCUUCGGCUUAACCGGAGUAGUGCAUUGGAACUGGA